rnacentral:lncRNA from 1 species
CAUCAUACAAUUGAUGGGUAAUAACAGUACCCAUACUUUUAUUUUCUUAAACAUAACAUAAGAGACUAAUACUGCAUAUUCUUAACCAGUGUGAUCAGGGUUUCUUCCAUAUUGUGGGACUACAAGAAGAUCAAUAUUUCCAUUAAUUUCAUCAUCAGCAAUAAGUGAAAACCAUGGGGGGGCCCCACCCUCCGACCAAUCGGUAUAACCUGAAAAAUUCAUGUUAUAAAACUUAAUCACAAAUACACAUAUUAAAAUAAGAAUUAUAAAUGACAUUUAUUUGAAAAUGCAUGGCCUAUGUAUAAACCUGCGCAAGGAGUUCCCAUAAUCUUCAAAUCAGGAAGGCAAAAGAUUUCUGCUGGCUUCGACUGAACCGUAUUCAAAACUCAAAAGAAAAGAAGCUGUGCUUGAGCGAGUUCUUAUUUCUGGUUUGAUCUGAUAUAUAUAGAUCAAGUAGCCGACACUACAGUGAGAAUAUAGCAAAGUAACAAGUUGUGCAUCGUAAAGAUAAUGGAUCAGUGGUUCUAAUUUAAUCGUACAAUAGGUAGGGAAGGUCAACAGCUCUAUAUGGUUAAGUUAGUGCAUGUGCGAUACAUGGUUCAAAAAAUAAAUAAUUCUAAAUACGAAGGACACGAGCAAAUAAAGUAAUAAAUGCAAUUACCAAAUAAUAGUGCGUGGUAUACUAUAGAUAAUGGAUCAACCAUUCAGAUUUCAUCAUACAAUAAGUAGGUAAGAUUAACUGUUAGUGUUAAAUCAUUGCAUGUGCGAAACAUGGUCCACAAAAUAAAUAGUAGUAAACAAGAAAGACGAACAAAGUAAUCAAAUACCAUGUCAUCAGAUAAAAAGAAAAAAAAGAAAGGUAUAAAUACCAUUACCAAACAAUUGCUUGGUAAAGAUAACAGAUUUACCGCUGAAGUCUGAUAAUUGUAAGAUUAACGGCUAUAUAUGGUUCAACUGCAUGUGUAGAUAAAGUAUGAAUCAAUGGGUCCAGGAAAUAAAUAAGAAGACCACAAGCAUAGUGGUCCAAAAAAUAAAUAAGAAGCGAACUGACGAUACAUAUAGAUCAAGUAGCCGACAGUGCCAACGUAUCAAAUAAACAAGUCAUGCAUGGUAAAGAUAAUGGAUCAACGGUCCAAGUUUAAUCGUACAAUAACUAGGUAAGAUUAAGGGCUCUGUAUUGUUAAAUGAUUGCACGUGCGAAAUAUGGUCCAAAAAAUAAAUAAUUGUAAAUAAGAACGACGAACAAAUUAAGUAAUUAGUACCAUUACCGAACACAGUGCAUUGGAAGGACUGGCUUUCUUCCUUUUUAUGAGAGCAAAGAACGAAAUUUUGUAAUAGUUUUACUUAACAGCUGAAAGUUAAUUUCAUUUUUAUAUCUUUCUUUUCCUUCUUUAUUUCUUAUAUUUUUCUGUUAUUAUUAUAAUUUCUCUUUUAUGUCAGUACGAGAGGCGUGUAAUUGUUUUGGUUUACUAAACCCUUAAUUCUCUUUCUAUACAACAUCAAAUCUAACUAUCCUUGUAAAGCUUUAAAAUAGUCGAUUAUAGUUAAUUAUUUGAAAAAUAAUAACCAAAGUAAAUAAGUAUUUUAUUUUUUUCGGUGUAUUAAACUAUCUAGUAUCUAAAGACCACAUUGGACCCCGAUUAAUUUAUAUUCGAGACAGGCAUGACCACUGAGGUGGCAAAGCUCUCCCAACAAAUAUUUAACGCAACUGUACUCCCAAGUCUCGAACUGAGGACUUUAGUUAAGUUAAAACAACUCUAUGCCAACUGAUCUCCGCGCUUGAUAGAAGUAAAUAAGCAUUUUAGUUAUCACAAUUAAACUCUUCUUUAGCAUUUAAUAGAAGUAGUUCUAUGAGCAUGGGUUUCGAGAGAGCAUGGCGGUGCGAAAAUGUUCGUGCGUUUACAGUCCCUAUGUUUUUAGUCAUAAUUUAUUUAGAUAUAGACAAAGACCCCUAAUGUUUAAAAAAUAGACACACAAAUGGCCCUUUUGAUUAUUUCACUCUUUGGUUCUAUUUAUCCAACGAAAAUUAAUUUCAAUCUAUUGUUCUAUAAUAAAUAUAAAUAUAGUAUUUAAAUCAGUGUAAUAAAUAAAUACAUUUUACAAUACAUAAACGUUAUUUGAGUUCUUUGCAAGAAUUAGCUAACCACUAUGCGGAGUUUGUUUAAGAAAAAUAUUGAAGAAGAGACAGCAUAAUUAAGCUGAUAGUAGAUAUAUAGCUAGACAAAGUUAAUCGACGUUAACAAACUGAUACACAAUACUUUUUUUUUUCUUAAAAGGAAAAUAUAGUACACGUAAAUAGCUAGACAAAGAGAAUCAAUUUGUAUAUAUCAAGAGAUCUUACAAGUUAAACCGAUCAAGAGAUCUUACAAGUUAAACCGAACCAAACUGAGACCAUUAUACAAUUGACGGGUAAUAACAGUACCCAUACUUUUAUUUUCUUAAACAUAACAUAAGAGACUAAUACUGCAUAUUCUUAACCAGUGUGAUUAGGGUUUCUUCCAUAUUGAGGGACCAGAAAAAGAUCAAGAUUGUCGUUAGUUUCAUCAUUAGCAAUACCCAUUUCGGGAAUCGGAAUCCAUUUCGACCAAUCGUUAUGACCUGAAAAGUUCAUAUUAUAAAACUUAAUCACAGAUACAUAUUAAAAUAAGAAUUAUAAUGAUAUUUAAUUGAAAAUGCAUGGCCUAUAUAUAAGCCUGCGCAAGGAGUUUCCGUAAUCUUCAAAUCAGAAAGGCAAAAGAUUUCUGCUGGCUUCGAUUGAACCGUAUUCAAAACUCAAAAGGUAAGUAGUUGCGCUUGAGCGAGUUCUUAUUUCUGGUUUGAUCUGAUAGAUAUAGAUCAAGUAGCCGACACUACAGUGAGAAUAUAGCAAAUAAGCAAGUCAUCACGCUAAAGAUGAUGGAUCGACAGUUCAAGUUUAAUCGUACUAUAAAUCGGUAAGAUUAACGGCUCUGUAUGGUUAGAUUAUUGCGUGGUUGAAACAUUGUCUAAAAAAUAAAUAAUUCUAAAUAAGAAGACGAACUGACGAUCAAAGCAAUAAUACCAACCAAUAAUGCAUGGUAGGGAUAAGAUAACGUAUAUAUAUCCACGGCUGAAGUUUCAUGGUAAGAUUAACGGCUAUAGAUGUUUCAAUUAAUGGGUCCACGAAAUAAAUAAUUGUAAAUAAGAAGUCAUGCAAAAUAAAUAUUCUUUCAACUGCAAUUCGAGUCCGUCCAAUUUUAAAUAAGAUUUGGGUGGAAAGUAGAUGUCCUUCUCGUUAAUUGGGUGGAAAGUAGACGAUUAUUAUUAUGGUCUUCUUAUUUAUUUCGCUGACCCAUUGAUUCCUACUUCCACAUGCAGUUGAAACGUAUAUAGCCAUUAAUCUUACAAUUAUCAAACUUCAGCCUUACGUGUGUUAUCUUUAUACUUUUUUUUUUUUUUGAUGAGAUGGUAUUUAUUACUUUGUUCCCCUAUCUUAUUCACAAUUAUUUAUUAUGUAGACGUUUCGCACAUGCAAUAAUUUACUUAUUGUACGAUCAAACAUUACCUCGUUAUUGUAGGAUGAAACCUGAGUUGAUCCAUUAUCAUGCAUUAUUUCUUUUUGUUUUUGCUUUGUUUUUUUUUUUCUUUUUUUGGUGGCUACGUUGGCGCUGUAGUGUCGGCUACUUGAUGUAUAACCAGAAAUGAAGUUAAAGGCUGAAGUUAAGAUAAGAUCACAUUUCUACGGCUGAAGUUAAGAUAAGAAAACGAACUGACUAUCAAAGAAAUAAUACCAACCAAUAAUGCAUAGUAAGGAUAUAUAAGAUAACAUAUGUUUCAUUGUGAGCUUAUCGGCUGCAUAUGUUUCAAUUGAUGAGUCCACGAAAUAAAUAAUUGUAAAUAAUAAGUCAAGCAAAGUAAAUAUUCUUUCCUUAUCAUCUGGUAAAAUGUGUUUCUAUGGCCAAAAUUAUUGUGCGUGGAGACUGAGAGUAAUUUGGUGGUAACUAAGAGGGAAAAGGAUUGUUACACUCGAUAGUUUAUUUCAAUAUACACAUAGACCCUUAAUGUUCAAAACAUAAUCACACAGAUGGCCCUUUGACUAUUUUACUCUUGGACUCUAUUUACCCAACAAAAAUUGAUUUCAAUCGCAUGUUUUAUAAUAAAUAAAACUAUAAUAUUUAAAUCAAUGUAAUAAAUAAAUACACUUUCAGUUAAAUUUAAUAUUAAAAUAUGUUGUACUUAUUUAUCAAUAUUAAAAUUUUUUAUAAACAAGGUUAAAAAAAUUAAUAAUUUGUUGAAUAUAUUUAUACAAAUUCCUACCCUAUUAAGGAUUUCAUGAUACGCAAAAGGAAAAAAAGUAACAUUUAGAAAAAUGAUGGGGCAAAUUUGCACUCCAAUAUAUAUUUUGGACACUCUAAAAUUUUACAUUACUAAAAUAACGGUAAUCUAAUCUACUAUUCAGGACAUUAAUAUAUUUUAAGAAAAUUUUAAUUCCCUUAAAACUCACUAUUAUACGUAGAAGAAUUAAAUUUCAAGUCUUUUUUCCUCGUCAUCAUCCAAUUUAGUGCCUGCUUGGUAUUGCUUUUGGAAACUUUAAAAGUUAUUUUAAAAAACUAAGUGCUAAUUUUGAUGAAGUUCAUGUUAUCUAAUGCUUGUAAUAGUUUUUCCCUUUUUUAAAGAUGUUAUUCUUUUGGAAUAUACCAAUAUCAAUGAGCCAGAAAUGUUCUUGCAACAUUGAAUUAGUUUAUAAAUUUAAAAAUGCAUGAUCUAAAAUCCUAUGCCUUGCUUAUCUAAUUUGAACUUGCAUAGUGCUCAUAUGAUUACAUUCAUAAGCUCUUAUCAAAAUUUAGUUGUUGUUUAGUUGUUUUUUAGUAAAGUUUUUAAAGAUUAAAUAAGUUAUUUUUGUUCUACUAGCAAAAGCUAUAAUUUUGGGCAUUUGGGAGCAGACGUAGAAACGUUUUUUUUUUUAAUUAUUAAAAUGUCUAAAAUAUUCUUUAUUUAUUUGACAAUUUUAUUUCAUUUAUUUUAUAACAUAACUUUCAAAAGCUUAUUUAUUAAAGUAGUUUUACAAUUCUAAUAAAAGCUCUUAUUGACAACCAAAUAACUAAAUUUUUUUUAGCACAAGCUCUAUUUGUAAGAGCUCUACUAACAAAAGUUCUACUUCAAUAAGCUCUAUUUGAAAACUCUGCCAAACUAAGCCUUAUUUUUGAACUCAUCUCCUAAUGCUCGAUCGAAAACAAUUCUAUUGCAAAAUUAAUGCAAUGCAUGUUCAAUAAUUUUGUCUAGAUUUCCCAGGGUUGAACAUUCGUUAAGCACCCGUAGUAAUAGCAAUUUCAAAUUCGCGCAAUGCAUCUGUUCAAAUUAUCAUUAUAAUUCAGUUGAAAUUUUUUUUAGAACUUAUGUCAAGUCAAGGUCCCAAGUGUUACGGUGAAUUCAGCUCCGGCUAUACCCUUCCUGAGUUUAUUACUUUUCCGUGUGCGUACGUAAUAACAGCCUGGAGAAGUAAUUAAUUGAUUGAUUAACCAUUGAUGGCAUUUAACCGUCCUCUUGAAGGGAAACCAGCUACGAUAUAAAUCAAACAACUGAACGUACAACUUCAUUAGAUUUCCUACAAUAAUGGCUAACAUUCAAUUUCAAUGAUUUAUCUGCUCCCUUCGAUCGACCAUGCCUUAAUUAAUUGUUACCACAACAUCAUCCCGAAUGUGGUAAUGACGUAAAUUAUAUAUUUUAGCUAUUUUUCUUUUUAAUAAAUAAUUUUACAGACACAGAUACAAUAAGCGUGGCAUAUGGGAGGAUGUUAGUUGAAACUUGGAAGCGAUAUCAGUUAAGCCAUCAUGCUUUUGUCCAACUUCUAUCUUCACGAUUAUGAAACCUAUUGUUUCUUUUCCAUUCACUUCUUGGGACAUGAGUAAUAAUAUAGCCACAAAUUCUUGUACAAGCUUAUCUUAUACAAACUGAUGUGGCAGGAUAAAAUUGAUUAAAUUAAAUAUUACUUGACCCACAUGAUUUAUUUUCAUUAUUUUGUAUUUUCAUUCAACCAAUGAAUUAAUGCCGAAUCAGUUUGUACAAAAUAAAUUUGUACAAAAAUUUGUGAUUGUAUCAUCACUCCUUAUGAUAUAUUGUCCACCCCACGUGUUAGCCUUUAAUUAUGCCAUCUUGCAACAUAAGCCCAUUGUUUGAGAAUUAAUCUCAGUUAAAGGGGCGGCUGAGACUUGAACCAUGAACUUUGAAGGUCACGUAGGUGGUGUUGUCCAUGUGCCAAGUAUACAUCAAUCAAACUUUAAGUAAUUAUUGGUUGGGCGAAAAUGAAAGCAAAGUGCGUAUUUAUGACUAGCUGUAGAAGAGAGCGAAAGGGCAGAACGAGCGUAUAUAGGUAGCUUUUGAUGACUUGGCUCAAAUAAAGGCAGUUCUAUAUUUAUACACGGAGAAAUUAUAAAAGUACAAGUCGUUUUUGGUCAUCUUGAUUUAUGCCCCAGAUCAAAAUUUUUUUAAAAUAGUUUUAUUUAAGUGGUCAUUCAAAUUCAAAUUCAAAUUCAUGGGGAGAUUAGUAAUAAGAAAAGAAAUUUAGCCUUUACCCACUCCCCUUAUUUUUUUCAGAAUGAGACUAAUAAGUUCAUUAAAACUUAUCAGAUAGAACAAAUUCGGAAUAUUUUGAAGAAUGACAAUUACAAUAAAGAGUACAAAUAAUGAUGAAUGCACCUCCUACUCCUCUUCGUGACACAAGCCAAUUAGGUUAUGAUUUUUUUUUAAUUAAAGAAAAAAAAUAAAAAUCAAGCCUUACCUAAAAGCAAUUGGUAGUAAAAUUUUAGUGGAGAAUCUAAAGAAUGACAUAUCCGUCAUUUUCUAUGAUUUCUGUGAGGACCACUUUUUUUUUUUUAAAAAAAAAAAAUUCACGCUCAUCACAAGUUGAUUUGUUUUGUCAUUUGUGAUUGCGGGGUGUGUGUCUUCUUUUGGUUUGAUGCCUCACUGAUCUGAUCCGCAAUCUUAAACUUUAUUAAAAUUUAAAAAAAUUAUCAAGUUAUAUGGUUUAAUUUACAAUUUUUCUCUAUUUCUCUACUUGUAAAUUUUACAUUUUUUAAUAAAAAUUAUUAAAGUCUCUGAGCUAUUAAGGGUAUUUAUGACAUUUUCCUACUUGUAAUUAAUUUAAUCAUUAAAAGUAUAUAAGUUUUUUCUGGAUUUAUAUUCAAACAUAUUUAAAUUUUAUAAAAAUAAAUUAAUGUCUUAGUUAAGCUUUCUAAUUUUUUUUUUCUGCUCGACGAAUUUAUAAAGACGUCGUUUUUAAGAAGGAAAUAAUUUCUCUUUAUCUUUUUACUGCUUGAUUGGAACUCGGGAAUUGAAAAAAGGAAAGGAUCGAUGUUGAAGGAAAGAGUUGGGUAUGGAAAUAAAAUUGUAUCCCUUUAUAAACUCAUUAAAAAUCAAAUUGAAUGAAUUUAAUUAUUAAUAAUUAGGUUACAAUAUAAAAUGAAAUCUUAAGCUUUCAAUUUUUUUUUCUAGAAAUUAAUUUUAUGAUUAGAUUAUUGAAAGCUAAAGAAAAAUUAGGAGGGGGAAAACUAGUAGGGAAUCCAAAUCCUAUUCUUAUUAAUUAAUUAUAAGCUCUAUUUUUUUUUAAUCAAGUCCAAAAUUUUCCUUGUUUUUUUUUUUCUUUUUAAAUACCCAAAACUAAAAAGCAGGGCAUGCACUCUGUUUAUAUUUCUAUGAAAUCGUUGUUCAUUAAGCAAAUUUCUUCCUCUAAGUUCAGAUAAUUUCAUGAUUUGUCACUUACUGCACCGAAUAAAAAGAUAAAGAAUCAAAAUUCAAAAGGACAUCUUUUAUGUGUAAAUACACAUCAAAUCUCUUUUAUUAAUCAAAUUUUUUUGAUUAUUAAUAAAAUAGGCUACAUAGCAUAUUAUAUUUUUUCUCCCUCAGCUAAAAUACUAAUAUAUUACCAAAUUAAUUCGUAAACGGAAAUUAAGAAAGUUAGAUCUCCAGUGAUUGUCCGUGCAAUCUCUGACUUGGCGGCACUGGAUUUUAUCAUUGCUUCAUUGUUAAAAUUUCCCGUGAAGGACGUAUAAAUUGCUGCCAUGGUGACCUUUGCAAAGGAUGUGACCAUUGCUGCGCUGGAUAAUACUGCUGGGGAUGUGAACAUUGCUGUGCUGGGUGUAAAAUGCAAGGGAUAUGAAUGUAAUUGGAGAUCGUUUUCAUUUUUGUUUGUCGUUUUCGCUUUUUCAAGGUUGGUAAAUGGAGAGUGAAGAAACAGCAGAUCACCAAGGAGGAUUCACUAACUUUCGUGAAUUUAGGGAGGGGUUUCCUUGAGAUUAUGUGCCUGAUUGGUACAACUUAUUUAAUAAUCACAAGUGUUUAUUUAAUCUCAUCAGCUCUUAUUUUAAUUUUUAUUAUUGUUUGGUUUUUUUUUUAAUAGAACUUUUGAAAUUUAAAUAAGAUAGUUUGUCUUUUCUAAUAAAAUCUCAAAUUUUGUUGGGCAUAGGACGAAUGAAAAACAUUUGUUCUUAAACACCUUUUCCUAGUUUCAAAUAGAAGUGAGAGAGAGUUGAUGCUAAAAAGACCGCCAGACUUAUAUUUUUCCAUGAGAAUUAUGUAUUAUGUGGAACUAAUUUUAAUUUACUUUCGUGAUCUUGUUACAAUGUUAGCUCUUUGUUCAUGAAUUGAUUAAUACGUGUUUCUUUUUACUCAAAAGUCUUCAUCUUAUUAACUUGCAUCAUCUUUUUCUUCUUCUUUUUCUCCGCGUGGUCUUCAAUCACCUAGUUUCUCUCCUACAGGAUGAGCAAUAAUACCCAUUCGAAAAUACAUUGGUUUGUCGCUGUUUGAUUUAUGACAAGCGGAUUUCUCAUCCCACAAUUUUUUUGGUCCAAAUGAGAAAUAAUAUGGUAUCAACUACUGUAUCUUGACUGGUAUUAUUUUAAGAAAUAGCAUUUGCUUACUAUUUGACUUAACAAAACAAUAUCCAGUGCGCUUGUACUAACCCUGCUGCGUUUUUUUCACAAUAUCUAUUUCUAUUCUUUGCUGAGGACUUUUGUGAAUCUGUGAUAUAAGCUGGCGGAAUCGCUGCAUCCAAAUUUAAUAUGAGAAAACAUAUCCUCAAGCUAGCCGGCUUAACGCGCAGCGGAUAUUAGUAAUAAGAAUGACCAUAGCACAGCCACAGAAACGGCGCAGCCCCAUUCUAUCAUUUUUGUGCCCUCUCCUCAAACUUUUUUGAUAAUAAUUUUUGAUAUCACUCUUUAUUUCACCAUACUCUAUUUUGAUUAAUUCGAUUUAUUUCUCAAAUUACUCCCAUUAAAAAUAUUUUAUCUCUAUUGUUUCUCACUUGCUCUUCUCAUUAUAUUUCAACUAAUGGUACAACAAUCGAAAUGGAAAAUUUAGAAUCAAAAUCAAUGACAUGUUUACUUGCAAAAUUAAGGUUUGGGAUUGGAAUUGAAGUAGUGUCGGACCCACAAAUUUGAGAAUCACUACCAUAGCUCUGAUUCCAAAGCGAGGGGUUUGGAAUCUGAAUUCGAUUUCUAUAACUACCCAUUUUACUCCCAUUAAAUUUUUAUAAUCUCUAAAUUACUCUCAAUUAAGUUAUGUCAUUUUUUUCUUUUUGGUUCCCAUGGAAUUUAUCAAACAAACUCAAAUUUCUUGAAUUAUUUGCAAAUAGGUCCUUUAUUGUUUAUAAUAAUGUAAUAAUAAUAUUAUAUUAUAUUAUUAUAUUUAAAAUUUAUUUAUUUUAUUAUUUUAAUUAUUAUUAUUGUCAUUAAUUUCAUCAUCAUCAUCAUUUCAUCAUCAUUAUUAUUAAAUUUUUUUAUUUAAUCAUCAUUAUUAUUAAAUUUUUUUAUUUAUUUUUCUUUUAGAAAAACAUAGUACACAUAAAUAGCUAGACAAAGAGAAUCUCUUGUAUAUAUCAAGAGAUCUUACAAGUUAAACUGAACCAAACUGAGACCAUCAUACAAUUGAUGGGUAAUAACAGUACCCAUACUUUUAUUUUCUUAAACAUAACAUAAGAGACUAAUACUGCAUAUUCUUAACCAGUGUGAUCAAGGUUUCUUCCAUAUUGCGGGACCACAAGAAGAUCAAUAUUUCCAUUAAUUUCAUCAUCAGCAAUAAGUGACCAACGUGGCGGUGCAAUCCCCUCCGACCAAUCGUUAUAACCUG